AAAAAAGGUAACCAUGCGGUUUCAGUUUGUGAUAAGUUGUGAUGUUUCCGUUGUUGCUUUUAACAUUUUGUAUUAAUGAUACAGAAAGAAGCACUGAUUCUUAUUUAGUUCUAAAAGGAAAAAAAAAAAAAGCUGUGCCUCAUUGCUUGGCAGACUGCUUGGACUUUUGAAUACUGUCAUGCAAGGUAGUUUCCUUCUCAGACAACCUCUGCUUGAUUAAUUGAAAGUGCUCAUGGUAGAACAGGCUUAAAAAAAUAAAAUUAAAAAACCUCUUAUUUUGCUGCACAAGGUAACUAAUGGUUAUUUUUUCUAAGUAAUAAAAAGCCUCUUUUUUAAAGAAAAUAAAAGUAGGGAGAAAGUGUGUGCACACAUGAGCAAGGAGAACAUCUUUCACCAAAUGUAUCUGUGCUGCCUGUUCAUAAAACGUGACGUAGUGUAUGUCCAGGCUGAAAAGUUGGAGCAAGGUUUUAAGAAGUGUUUAAUGUGUGAAGUAGAUCAGUUGUUUUAUUUUUGACUUCUUUAGCAGAUGCUUGUCCAGUAAAAUAUAGACUGGAGAAAAAAAAAAUAAAAUAAACCACUGAAAUAGAGCCAAGACUGGAUAAAAGCAGAGGACAUUUCUGCAAAAUCAUUAGAGUUCUUGGUUAGAGAAUUAAGUAGGACAGACACCUGGUGAGAGAGAGAGAGAAAGCUAUAAAAAUCUGUGUAUACAAAUGAGAAUUUUAAAAGCAUAGACUAGCAAAGAAGAACAUUUUAUAUUAAACAAUACCCUGGGAAAAGAUGGAAUGGUGAAAUAGUGUAGUGAGUAUUAUAAACUAUGUAGGAAAAAUGAAUUAGAGUAAAGAGUUGGAUUACAAAUAAUGUGCCAAAUGUAGCGAGCGUCACACCUAACUUCUCUAGCUUACAAGAAGAAAGCAUUAGCAGAUAAUGACAGAAGUGCUUGAGCAGGCAAACUUGUAAAAAUAGCGUUAUCAGAUUCUACCUGCCUUGUGUUCCAGAACACUUAAGGAUUCUUAUAAACUCCUUUCUUGCAGGAAUUGAAUCCAUCUCAAUAUAACAAAACAGAAUACCAAAAACAAACAACAAAAAAACAGGGAAGCAUAGGGGGUAACAUAGCUGUAUUAGAGAGGAAGAUUAACAAGAGUUUUGAUUCCACACCUCCCAGCUUCAAAUUACUUUGCUGUCAUUUCAUUUUAUGUCAUCUGCAACAUCCAUUCCAGUCCCCAAUGUGCUAAGUGGAGGUGGUGUGUUUCUGGUGCUGCCAUGUAGAUUUGCAUUCAGCAGUUGUAGUAACAGUGCUGAGGAGUGGCUCAUGUUGUGAAAUGCAUCUUGGCUCUAGAACAGGGUGGCUCAGAUGAGGCUGCUAAAUCUAUGUCUGCAGGUGUGGUUUUGGGAAGGCCAUUACAUUUUAUCUGUAGCUUUAUUCUGUCUCUUAAUAGAGACCUUAUCUGAUGUACAAGAGUGGGGAAAGAUUAUCUGAUGUCUGCUGGAUGCCAGUUUUGUGCCUUCCUCUGGCUGAGGUCAGGUACCUGACAGUUAGCAGCCAGCCUGGUGAUGAAGAGCUGAGACUCCCUCAUAUUUAGCCUUUUACCUUAUCUUCCUGGUCUAAGCUCAGAGGGAAAAUAGUCGUGUUGAUUUUUACCUCUUCUCUCCCAGUGAACACAUACAUAAAUUAUCUCUGAGAGGACUUGUCUGGUUAAGGGUCAAACAUGCAAAUGAAUGGGGAGGGAUGCCCCUCCUGUAGCAGGUGAAAGGGGCAGAUUCAAGUUAUACACCAGUUGAUAGUUUCAAGAAAAAUGUGAUUAGGUUGAAUCAUUCAGAAAUCAUUUCUGCUUUAAACCCAUCUCAGAGAAAAUGGCCUUUGCAGAUUCUUCCAGUGCUGUACAAAGUCAUGCGUUGCUGGAGACUUUAUGGCAUGUCCUCUGUGUGAAAUAAUUUGGGAAAAGAUCCGUCUCCCUCUAAUUUGGUAACAACCCCCAAGCCUACAGUUGCUAUCUUUCGUAAAGUGGGUCACAUUCCUUUCAGGAUGAAAAUAAAACAUGGGAAUUUACACUGUAUAUAAAUAUUUCCAUACUUGAGGUAUCUCUCAAGUAUUCAGAAGAUUCUUUGGCAGCAUUAGCCAAUGCCAUGCCCACAGUCAUAUUAAACCUCAGACUAGAGCCAUAUUAAACUAAACAGAAGGUUCAAGAGACUUUUUGAGGAAUUGCCUUAAAUUCCUUCUUUUUUUUUCCCUUCCUCCUCCAAGAUAUGCCUGUUACUACUGCACUUUAUGACCUGCCUAACAGGCAUCCUUCUAGGGCUUCAUGAUCUUCCCCUGGAGGAAAUUCCAGGUGCAGAGGUGUUUACUGACUUCAUAUUUCAUGAUUUCUCCUUGUUUACUUUGUCCAAUGAAAGUACUUGGUAAAUGAGAACCUUUCCUAGCAUUGAGAAUUUGAAUGCCAGCUCUGAGAGACUUAAGAUGUAGAUUAUACCAUAGAGUGUUUGUGGGCAUCCUUCAGACCUAUCGAUAUGUGGAAGGUUCUUUGGGAAGAUAAGCAGUCAAGAUUAUCACUUUCAAUGUUAAACACCAUGAAAUGACAGAGGAGGAUUACAUCUCCCUUAAUUAGAAACUUAAUGCUUAACAGAGGGUGUAGCUCAUUUGGCAGCAUCCAUGAGAUGUCUAGGGAAUUACUUGUUCCAUAUUUUAAUAGUUUUAUGAUUUUGUUUGUGAUUUCAUCAUUGUAAUCAGUAGUAACCAAAGCACUAAAACUGUAAUGACACUUCACCAAAUGCUACUUUUUAAAUGAAAAAUGAACCAAGAAAAAUAAAAUUUAUUUUGUAAGGGAUAUUUACUAUGUUUAGAUAUAUACUAAGGCCACAAAGUGAACUCUUUUCCUCUAAGGACAUAACAUUCAUAACAUAUUUACUCUUAAUUUAUAUUUACUCGUUUUCUAGUAAUUCAAAAACAAAUCUCAAAACCUCGUAAAUCAUCAGCCAGGGCAGUAACUUUGAAAAUAGCACUGCUACACCAUCACCUUGUACAUACGCUUCUCCAAAAUUAAAUGUCAUUAUCUCCUUUCUAAAAAUGUGAUAAUGGACUGUGUGCUUUGGAUUUAAAUGGCAUCCCACUUAAACACUCUGUAGGGGCAAAUUACAUACAUAAGAUAAGUGUACCUAGCAGAUGCAAAAAAUAAAUAAUUUUAUAAAAUCUGAUUUUAAAAUUAUUUUUAUGUCCUAAAAUAAUAAUAAUGGUAAUCCAGUGUUAUACCCAAGUAUGGUUUUUUUUUUUUUUUAGUUUUAUGAACAGGAUGAAUUAUUUAUAGCAUAAUUUUUUUACUGUGCUACCUGCAGGGUAAGGUGCUUCCAGGAUGUCAAGAAUUUUGUCACUUGAAUAUAUUCUGCAAAGCUGGCAGCUUUGUAUUUAUGUAUUCAUAGUUGGUGUACUACUCCUAAAUGUUUGGAAUGUAAUAGUCUUUUUUUGGCAGUAGGAUCUUAGGAUGGAAGUACAGUUUGGCACAUAAAAGCAAAAAGUUGUAAAUUACUACAGUACUAACCUGACUAAACAACCAUAGUUCCAAUCUGAUUCUUAAAGAAAUACAUUAUUGAACUCUGUCUAAUUUGUUCCUAAUUCACCCGUAGAUUAAGGCAAGUUAAAUUGCCAAGUCAAGUUAAAUAGUGUAAGGUUUGAGGAGGAGCAAGUAUUGGUAGUUUUCACAACCUUUCAUCUGUGAAGAGCAGGAAAACAAAUCUGAUAUUAGAGACACUACUUUUAGUAACUUCUUUUGUUGCUAAAGCUAGAAGUAUGCAAAGAAAGUUCAUAGCAAUAUAAUACCUUUCUUAAUCUGCCCUAGAAGACCAAGCUCUCCUGAAAAGGGAAUGCUUGGAAACGUAGGUGUUUUUGUUUUUUUUUGUUUGUUUGUUUGUUUUUAUGAGACCAUAUUUUUUUCUAUCUUAAACAUUCUGGAUAUGCUUUGUGAAAAAUAGACCAUGGUUAUCCCGUCUGCUGUUUUCGGUUUGCACAGGUCAGUACCUUUCUCUGCUUACACACUUACAUAGUCAUCAUCAGCAAUAUGUCUUUUUACUUCCCUUUUACACUUGAACUUCUGCACUUGAACAUCUUACCUGGGAGAGCAUUCGAAAGUCAUGGCUGCAGCAGGGCAAUGUUUUUUUCAGCUGACUGGAUAGUUGAUACAUACAUAUGUACCACAAAACUGGAGACAAUAAUCAUUUUCACCUUUCCUAAAUUGGUAAAACCAUAUGAAUCACUAACUUUUCUCACUGCUUUACAGAGCCUAUUUUUUUAAAAUUGAGUAUGUUUGCAUCAUAGAGGGUAAAAAAAAAAAAAAAAAGCUGUGUAUGAAAUAUUAACAUUUUGUAGGGAAAAAACUGUAGUUAUCUUCUUGAUAAAUGUUGAAUUCAGGGAUAUUUAAUAUUUGGCCAUCAAAUUUGUGACUAUCAUUUAACAUACACUGAGGGGGGCUUGCAAAAUUGGGAGACUGCAGUUAUAUUGCUAAAUAUGUUCUACUAAACUUUAUUCAGGCUUCUGGCUUGCAUUAGCAGUUGAGCUUUGCAAAAAUGGCUGAAGCUUGGGUGGCUGUGAAUGUCGAGUUGCAGAAGUCUACUGCUGACAAUAUUAA